GAUGAACGCUGGCGGCGUGCCUAAUACAUGCAAGUCGAGCGGUAAGGCCUCUUCGGAGGUACACGAGCGGCGGACGGCUGAGUAACACGUAGGAACGUACUCCAAAGUGAGGAAUAAGCACCAGAAAUGGUGUCUAAUACCGCAUGUGCUCUAAGGAGUAAAGCUUCGGCGCUUUGGGAACGGCCUGCGCAUGAUUAGCUUGUUGGUGAGGUAAAAGCUCACCAAGGCGACGAUCAUUAGCUGGUCUGAGAGGAUGAUCAGCCAGACUGGGACUGAGACACGGCCCAGACUCCUACGAGAGGCAGCAGUAGGGAAUUUUCCACAAUGGGCGAAAGCCUGAUGGAGCAACGCCGCGUGCAGGAUGAAUGCCUUCGGGUUGUAAACUGCUUUUAUAUGUGACGAUUAUGACGGUAGCAUAUGAAUAAGGAUCGGCUAACUCCGUGCCAGCAGCCGCGGUAA
rnacentral:rRNA from 1 species